AGAGUUUGAUCCUGGCUCAGAACGUACGCUGGCGGCACGCCUAACACAUGCAAGUCGAGCGAGGUAGCAAUACCUAGCGGCAGACGGGUGCGUAACAUGUGGGAAUCUGCCUUUUGGUUCGGAACAACACGGGGAAACCUGUGCUAAUACCGGAUAAAUCCUUACGGAGAAAGUUUUAAUGCCAAAAGAUGAGCCCGCAUUUGAUUAGCUAGUUGGUGUGGUAAAAGCUCACCAAGGCGAUAAUCAAUAGCUGAUUUGAGAGGAUGAUCAGCCACACUGGGACUGAGAUACGGCCCAGACUCCUACGGGAGGCAGCAGUGGGGAAUCUUGCACAAUGGGCGAAAGCCUGAUGCAGCGAUGCCGCGUGAGUGAAGAAGGCCUUUGGGUUGUAAAGCUCUUUUGUCGGGAAAGAUAAUGACUGUACCCGAAGAAUAAGGUCCGGCUAACUUCGUGCCAGCAGCCGCGGUAAUACGAAGGGACCUAGCGUAGUUCGGAAUUACUGGGCGUAAAGAGUAUGUAGGCGGCUAGAUAAGUUAAUUGUGAAAGCCCAAAGCUUAACUUUGGAAUUGCAAUUAAAACUAUUUAGCUGGAGUAUGAUAGAGGAAAGCGGAAUACAUAGUGUAGAGGUGAAAUUCGUAGAUAUUAUGUAGAACACCAGUUGCGAAGGCGGCUUUCUGGAUCAUUACUGACGCUGAGAUACGAAAGUAUGGGUAGCGAAGAGGAUUAGAUACCCCCGUAGUCCAUACCAUAAACGAUGAUUAUUAGAUGUGGGGAAUUAUUUCUCUGUAUCAUAGCUAACGCGUUAAAUAAUCCGCCUGGGGAGUACGACCGCAAGGU
rnacentral:rRNA from 1 species